CGUCUAGGGGCACCCGAGUCCCCUAUUCCUUGUUUCUCCUAUCACUCAGGCACUGGCAGAUUCCUUUGCCCACUCCUGUUGGCCGCCGCGGCUCCAAAGCGACUGGGCAUAUGUGCCUGAGACAGGUUUGACAAGGCAACUGAAAAGAUAUCCCUAAGAGAAGACAAAGCAAAGGUUUCCCAGAGGAAGAGGGAGAAUUUGGACAAAUGAA
rnacentral:lncRNA from 1 species